rnacentral:rRNA from 1 species
CUGAAACUCGCCUACAUGAAGCUGGAAUUGCUAGUAAUCACAGGUCAGCAUACUGUGGUGAAUACGUUCCCGGGCCUUGUACACACCGCCCGUCACACCAUGAGAGUUGAGAAUACCCGAAGCCCAUGUCAAAGUGGUCGAAGGUAGGCUUGAUGAUUGGGGUGAAGUCGUAACAAGGUAAC